CACCCUGGUAAUGGGCAAAGAGACCCCUUGGUGGUGGUGUCUUCUAUCAGUCAAGGGUAGGGCAUAUGGCAGUCCUUUGGUCAUCCUAGUUUGGUGCCUAGCUUGGGGACCAAAGCUGUUUCACGCCUAGGGCAUAUAA